AUGGAGCUUUAGACCUAAAGUAAGUCACGUUUAACAUGCUGAAAUAACAGAAAAAACUUAGUGAUAUUUACUGAAGUGUCUUUGGUUGGGGCGACCGCGGGGUAAAACACAACCCCCAUGUGGACCGGGGAUAUUAUCCCUAAUACUCAGAGCCUCUACUCCAAGUAACAGAAAUUCUGACUUUUCUGAUCCGGUAUAACCGAUCAACGAACCG
rnacentral:rRNA from 1 species